UACGGGGGGGAGCAAGCGUUGUUCGGAUUUACUGGGCGUAAAGGGCGCGUAGGCGGCGCGACAAGUCACUUGUGAAAUCUCUGGGCUCAACCCAGAACGGUCAAGUGAUACUGUCGUGCUAGAGUGCGGAAGGGGGCAACUGGAAUUCUUGGUGUAGCGGUGAAAUGCGUAGAGAUGUGGAGGAACACCGAUGGCGAAGGCAGCCCCCCUGGGCCAAUACUGACGCUCAUGCACGAAAGCGUGGGGAGCAAACGAGG
rnacentral:rRNA from 1 species